GGGCACAUGGUGUAGUUGGUUAUCACGCCCGCUUAGCAUGGACAGUUCGGGAUAUUCUGGAGAUCCGGCAUGCGGGCGGUCCCCGGUUCAAUUCCGGGUGUGUCCA
rnacentral:tRNA from 1 species